rnacentral:rRNA from 1 species
CCCUUAGAUGUUCUGGGCAGCACGCGCGCUACAAUGGUCUUCGCAAACGGAUGCAUUCUCAAAGGAGAAUGCCAAUCUUGGAAUCUAUGCCUUGGUCGGGACAGUUGCUUGCAAUUUUUCGACUCGAACCAGGAAUUCCUUGUAAUCGUGAUUCAUCACAUCACGAUGAAUACGUCCCUGCCCUUUGUACACACCGCCCGUCGCUCCUACCGAUCGAAGAGUUAGGUGAAUUGUUUUGAUCGAUAAGAUUUGACUAUGGUCAACUCUCGUUGUGAAAUUCUGUGAAUCUGACUGUUUAGAGGAAGGAAAAGUCGUAACA